AUGGCUGUCGGUCCGCGGCUGGCCCACAGGCUUAGCCCAUUUCGCGCCAUAGAUCUGAUGUGCGAGCCAAAUUGCCCGCAGCUCGGCAAAUUUUCGGCCCAUCGUCGCUGGUCAAAGCCUACGCCUCCGCCGCUGGUGUACCCCAAAUCCCUCGCUGCCGGCUGCAGUUCCUCAAAUCCUAGCCUCCCCGAACCUCUCACCCGCUCCUGCGCUCUAUUCCUCAGCUCGCCAACCACUGAACCGCAGCCUCAACAUCGAACGUCGCUGUCCUCGUCUCAGACGCCGCCGCCGCCGUCCUCGUCCCAGCCGUGGUCGUCGCCGUCCAAGUCACAGCCGCCGCCGUCUCCGUCCAAGUCCCAGCCGCCGCCGUCGCCGUCCUCGUCCAAGCCACCGCCACGGCCGUCCUCGUCCCAGUCGCCUUCGUCACCGUCCCGCCACCGCAGCUCCAUCGUCCUCCAACCGCCGUCCGUUCCCCAUCAAGGCUUAGAUCUUGGAUCUGCUAGUGGACUUUGGGAGUUUGUUAGACAGCUUGGUGACUCCACACUUUUUCACUAUUUCAGCAAGCCUUUGAUGAUAUCGGCAUGUUCAAAAGAACUUGAAUAUGCCAAAUACUUGGAAUGCAGAAUAACAUGGUUUAAGGAACAUGCAUGGCCUCAUCUUUGUGCUUAUUGGUGCUCAAAGACGUUCAAGUCCUUCAGGAAGGGAGGGCAGGAAUCCCGAUUCAAGAGUGAAGGUGUUGCUCAAAAUCGGGGAGGUUCGCUUCCAUUUGUGGAGGCUCGACAAAUUCUGGCUGAGAAAUAUGGACCUGAGAAGGCUACCACGCUGAAUACAUAUGCUGCAAUGAAAUCUGGACUCAAGAAUUGGGAUGGCAGUGGUAGCACCAGCACGACCCUCAGCGGGAAGGCAAAAAAUGCUUUAGCCGCACAUCCUGAUGAAUGGGAGCAGCGAGAGUUGGAUGGGCAAAUAUUAUAUGAAUCAUCAGGUGGCAUUCCCCAUGGGCGACUAGCAAUAGCAGAUGGGGCGAUUAAGAAGGCUGAUGUUAUCUCAAUAGCUAGAGAAAAGAAAUUGAGGCCGUCAACUUCAGCAGCACAUCGACGAACUGUUCAAGAAAAUGAAGAGCUGAAGCGACAUAAUGAGAACCUGCAGCGACAUAAUGAGAACCUGCAACAUAAAGCCCUUUUUAAGGAGAUGGGAAAAGAACUACCAACGGAGCUACACCAAGGAGCGAGUUCCCAACCACAUGGGACACCUAAUUCAUCUCAUAUGAGACCCCAAACCUCCGAUAACAACACUGGUGAUGAUGAUCUGGGUGCAAAUGGUGGUGCUGACAACUCCAGUGGGAAUACCAGUGACAACAACGUUAGUGCCGGUGGUGGCGACACUAGUUCCAACAUUCGUGAAACUGAGACCUAG
rnacentral:rRNA from 1 species